AGAAUCAACGCUGGCGGCGUGCCUAACACAUGCAAGUCGAACGAGAAAGUGGAGCAAUCCAUUAGUAAAGUGGCGCACGGGUGAGUAACACGUGACUAACCUACCCUUGAGUGGGGGAUAACCUAGAGAAAUCUGGGCUAAUACCGCAUAAUACCUUCGGGUCAAAGGAGCAAUUCGCUUAAGGAGGGGGUCGCGGCCGAUUAGUUAGUUGGCGGGGUAAUGGCCCACCAAGACUAUGAUCGGUAUCCGGCCUGAGAGGGCGCACGGACACACUGGAACUGAAACACGGUCCAGACUCCUACGGGAGGCAGCAGUGGGGAAUUUGCGCAAUGGGGGAAACCCUGACGCAGCAACGCCGCGUGGAGGAUGAAGCCCCUUGGGGCGUAAACUCCUUUCGAUCGGGACGAUAAUGACGGUACCGAGAGAAGAAGCCCCGGCUAACUUCGCGCCAGCAGCCGC
rnacentral:rRNA from 1 species